rnacentral:misc_RNA from 1 species
GGAGUAUUAACAAUGGUAGCUGCACAAGGGUGUUCAAGGGUGGGACGGCCCAGGUGAGAUUCCAGCCUCGCAUUGGUAGAUAUCUUGCUGCUGCUGCCGAGAACGUUGUAUCAAUACUUGAUGUGGAGACACAAGCUUGUCGGCAUUCGUUAAAGGGCCACACAAAACCAAUCCAUUCUGUCUGCUGGGAUCCCUCAGGCGAGCUCCUAGCAUCUGUUAGUGAAGACUCUGUAAGGGUUUGGACAUUGAGAUCGGGUAGUGAAGGUGACUGUCUACAUGAGCUUAGUUCAAAUGGCAACAAAUUCCACUCGUGUGUUUUCCACCCUGCGUAUUCGUCUUUGCUAGUUAUCGGCUGUUA